GCUACCCCUAGAAGCGUUGCACAUGUGGCUGCUGGGUCCCAUGUGUGUCAGAAGAAGGCAGAGAGGAAAGAAGCUAUGUCUAUGCACAGUGCUCUGACCUAUGUUCAUAGGUCUGAAUGACUACUAGGCUAACAUU
ensembl:snoRNA